UGUAAGAAUCCACUUUUGCUAUUUUGAUGGCAGAAAAAAGGGUCUGUGCACCGGGCGCGUGGCUCAGAAAGGUUGUACUUAGUGUCUUCAUUAAUCAGAGGUGUGAUCUGGGUGUAACAUGCCAUCCACCAAUCAGAGGUCCUCUCCCAUUCCCUUCAACAGCCAGGCGCGUUUGGACCUUGGAGCAUUGCUGAUAUGAUGGAGGAUCUGCACCGAAAUAUUUGUACGUGU